GGUGGCGAGAUGAAAUGCAUGGCGUGAGAUAAAAAUGCCGGACAAAUAACCUUUUAUCGAGGAUAUUUUCCGAAUCCGCCCAUCAUACUGGUGGGACUCGGGAUAUUCUCUCACCUAGGGAAUUAUCCGAGAAUCUCGCCUUCGUAAAUUCGACGAAUAAUUCCCGUCAUCGGGGUCAUCGUACGUUUUCUUUUUAAAAUAAUAUUUUUGUGCAUAAUGAACCCAAUUCGGGCAAAAGCCUU
rnacentral:lncRNA from 1 species